AUAGAGAGAUGAACCUCUCUGUUCCCCAACCCCUCUAUCAGAUCAAGAUUUUAAAAAACUUGGCGCUGCCCCCGCCAAGUUUUU
rnacentral:sRNA from 1 species